rnacentral:rRNA from 1 species
UACGUAGGGUGCAAGCGUUGUCCGGAAUCAUUGGGCGUAAAGAGCGCGUAGGCGGUCCAGCAAGUCGGGUGUGAAAGCCCUCGGCUUAACCGGAGGAAGUGCAUUCGAAACUACUGGGCUGAGUACUGAAGAGGAUCGCGGAAUUCCCGGUGUAGAGGUGAAAUUCGUAGAUAUCGGGAGGAACACCAGUGGCGGAAGGCGGACGAUCUGGGCAGAGUACUGAC